AAUUUUGGACAAUGGAGACAACCCUGAUCCAGCCAUCAAGCGUGAGUGAUGAAGGCCAUCGAGCUGUACCGCACUUUUGGCUGAGACGCAAAGGCACUGGUUAAUACCUGGUGCUUCUCACGAUCCAUACAGAAUAAGCAACUGCUCGCUACGCGCCAUCAGCCGCGGUAAUACGUAGGGUGCAAGCGUUAAUCGGAAUUACUGGACGUAAAGGGUGCGUAGGCGGUUUUGCAAGAAGGAUAUGAAAUCGCGGGGCUUAACCGCGGAACUGCAUUCUUAACUGCCAGGCUAGAGUAUGUCAGAGGGGAAUAGAAUUCCGCGUGUAGCAGGGAAAUGCGUAGAGAUGGGGAGGAAUGCCGAUGGCGAAGGCAGCACCCUGGUAUAAUACUGACGCUCAGGCACGAAAGCGUGAGAAGCAAGCA
rnacentral:rRNA from 1 species